UGGGGAAUUUUGGACAAUGGGCGAAAGCCUGAUCCAGCAAUGCCGCGUGUGUGAAGAAGGCCUUCGGGUUGUAAAGCACUUUUGUCCGGAAAGAAAUCCUUGGCUCUAAUACAGUCGGGGGAUGACGGUACCGGAAGAAUAAGCACCGGCUAACUACGUGCCAGCAGCCGCGGUAAUACGUAGGGUGCAAGCGUUAAUCGGAAUUACUGGGCGUAAAGCGUGCGCAGGCGGUUUGCUAAGACCGAUGUGAAAUCCCCGGGCUCAACCUGGGAACUGCAUUGGUGACUGGCAGGCUAGAGUAUGGCAGAGGGGGGUAGAAUUCCACGUGUAGCAGUGAAAUGCGUAGAGAUGUGGAGGAAUACCGAUGGCGAAGGCAGCCCCCUGGGCCAAUACUGACGCUCAUGCACGAAAGCGUGGGGAGCAAACAGGAUUAGAUACCCUGGUAGUCCACGCCCUAAACGAUGUCAACUAGUUGUUGGGGACUUCAUUUCCUUGUAACGUAGCUAACGCGUGAAGUUGACCGCCUGGGGAGUACGGUCGCAAGAUUAAAACUUAAAGGAAUUGACGGGGU
rnacentral:rRNA from 1 species